GCUACAUAGAUCUGGAGAUCUUGUUCUAGUUCGAGGUCAGUCAUUUUCACCUAUUCUCUUGCUUUCUGACUAAGAAAACUUCUUAAAAAAAAUGGCAGAAAAUACAAGUCCAGUUAUCACUGCGACUUGUGAGAGGAAGACAGUUUGCGUACUAUCGAUAAUUAUUAUGAUGCCACAGGAUUUCAUUGGAGCUAGAUCUAUCAAUCCUGGUACAAUGCAUGCAGCUACAGGAAUGCAGACUGGAUUUUUAUAGAUCUGUAACAAUUGAGUAUCUACGUUACAAUCUUGUUGAUGGAAAGAGACUUGGCAUGCUCACAUGAUGCUAUGUCAUGCUUCGCUUAGUGAACAAAAGAAGAAGCAAGUGGUCAAAAGAGUUAAGAAGAAACUUGGACCUGAACCUAAUCUGGUAAAAAAGUUGCACUGUUUAAUCAAUAACAUUUCAAUCAACUAAUAAUAUAAUAUUUUAUUUAAUAAAUUUCUGAUGAUUAAAACUAACAAAUUUCUUCUUCGUUUCUU